AUUGAACGCUGGCGGCAUGCCUUACACAUGCAAGUCGAACGGCAGCACGGGUGCUUGCACCUGGUGGCGAGUGGCGAACGGGUGAGUAAUACAUCGGAACAUGUCCUGUAGUGGGGGAUAGCCCGGCGAAAGCCGGAUUAAUACCGCAUACGAUCUACGGAUGAAAGCGGGGGACCUUCGGGCCUCGCGCUGUUGGGUUGGCCGAUGGCUGAUUAGCUAGUGGGUGGGGUAAAGGCCUACCAAGGCGACGAUCAGUAGCUGGUCUGAGAGGACGACCAGCCAGCCGGGGACUGAGACACGGCCCAGACUCCUACGGGAGGCAGCAGUGGGGAAUUUUGGACAAUGGGGGAAAGCCUGAUCCAGCAAUGCCGCGUGUGUGAAGAAGGCCUUCGGGUUGUAAAGCACUUUUGUCCGGAAAGAAAUCCUUGGCCCUAAUACGGUCGGGGGAUGACGGUACCGGAAGAAUAAGCACCGGCUAACUACGUG
rnacentral:rRNA from 1 species